UGGGGAACCUGCCCCAUAGUCUGGGAUACCACUUGGAAACAGGUGCUAAUACCGGAUAAUAAAGCAGAUCGCAUGAUCAGCUUUUAAAAGGCGGCGUAAGCUGUCGCUAUGGGAUGGCCCCGCGGUGCAUUAGCUAGUUGGUAAGGUAAAGGCUUACCAAGGCGAUGAUGCAUAGCCGAGUUGAGAGACUGAUCGGCCACAUUGGGACUGAGACACGGCCCAAACUCCUACGGGAGGCAGCAGCC
rnacentral:rRNA from 1 species